rnacentral:rRNA from 1 species
GAUGAACGCUGGCGGCGUGCCUAAUACAUGCAAGUCGAGCGAACAGAUGAGGAGCUUGCUCCUCUGACGUUAGCGGCGGGCGGGUGAGUAACACGUGGAUAACCGACCUAUAAGACUGGGAUAACUUCGGGAAACCGGAGCUAAUACCGGAUAAUAUAUUGAACCGCAUGGUUCAAUAGUGAAAGACGGUUUUGCUGUCACUUAUAGAUGGAUCCGCGCCGCAUUAGCUAGUUGGUAAGGUAACGGCUUACCAAGGCGACGAUGCGUAGCCGACCUGAGAGGGUGAUCAGCCACACUGGAACUGAGACACGGUCCAGACUCCUACGGGAGGCAGCAGUAGGGAAUAUUCGGCAAUGGGCGAAAGCCUGACGGAGCAACGCCGCGUGAGUGAUGAAGGUCUUCGGAUCGUAAAACUCUGUUAGUAGGGAAGAAGAAAUGUGUAAGUAUCUAUUCCUGUCUUGACGUUACCUAAUGAGAAAGCCCCGGCUAACUACGUG